GGUAUAUUGACAGAAAGGUUAUGUAGUUGAUUGCAGAUCAAAAUAUUAAGGUUCAAAUCCUUGAUAUACCU
rnacentral:tRNA from 1 species